GGUGGCACUGGGUACAGGACCCUGGUGACACUAUCCCUCCCUGGCACUGGAUCCUGGUGGCACUGGGUACAGGACCCUGGUGGCACUGUCCCUCCCUGGCACCGGGUACAGGACCCUGGUGGCACCAUCCCUCCCUGGCACCAGCCGAGCACAGGGUGACAGCUCCCCAUGGCUCCCCACGUCAGUCGGGGAGCUGUGCAGCUGCUGGCACCCCUUUGUUCGGGGGGUUAAUUAGCCUAACCCUUUGUUCGGGGGGUUAAUUAGCCUAAUGGGGCUGUGAGCAGCGGCCAGCGCUGACCUUCAGCCCUUUGUGCCAGCCCAGCAGCGCAGCCCGUGGGCAAUUAUGGCCUCAUUAGUGCCAGGCACCCCUUGCAGUGAGCACCCUCACAAUGGGGAGCUGCAAAUGAGGGGAAAGGCCUGCAUGGUCUCCGGGCUACCGCGUCUCCCGGACACUCGCUGCUCCCACUGGCCCAGGUAUUUUUGGCAGCCCCAUUGUGCCGGGCCCUAUAAAGGGGCGGUGGCAGUGCGGGGUGCUGUGCUGCCGAUGGGACAUGCCCCAGAGCUGCUCGGCCACAUGAAGACCCCAGCAAGGAUGGAGGUGCCCAACAGCAAGCCCCAGCGAGCUGCCUGCCUCCUGCUGCUGCUCCUGCUCUGCUCCCUGGCCGCUGCCCGGCAGAACCUGCCCCACUGCUGCCGGCAGAAAACCUGCUC
ensembl:lncRNA